CUCCCAGGACUAAGCGAAAUGACAAAUUUUUGUCACAUUUUCCCAUAGUCAGCAAAAACUAAAGGGUUGUGAAAAUGGGUGUCACUUUGGUGGGUGUGGUUGUCACUCCAUGGACUAAGACGAAAUGACAAAUUUCAGUCACAUUUUCCCAUAGUCAGCAAAAACUAAAGGGUUGUGAAAAUGGGUGUCACUUUGGUGGGUGUGGUUGUC